UACGUAGGGUGCAAGCGUUAAUCGGAAUUACUGGGCGUAAAGCGUGCGCAGGCGGUUUUGUAAGUCUGUCGUGAAAGCCCCGGGCUCAACCUGGGAAUGGCGAUGGAGACUGCAAGGCUUGAAUCUGGCAGAGGGGGGUAGAAUUCCACGUGUAGCAGUGAAAUGCGUAGAUAUCUGGAGGAACACCGGUGGCGAAGGCGGCAUCCUGGACCGACAUUGACGCUGAGGAGCGAAAGCCAGGGGAGCAAACGGG
rnacentral:rRNA from 1 species